rnacentral:rRNA from 1 species
UACGAAGGGGGCUAGCGUUGUCCGGAAUCAUUGGGCGUAAAGGGCUCGUAGGCGGUUUGUCGCGUCGGGAGUGAAAACCUACAGCUUAACUGUGGGCUUGCUUUCGAUACGGGCAGACUUGAGGCAUGCAGGGGGAGAACGGAAUUCCUGGUGUAGCGGUGAAAUGCGCAGAUAUCAGGAGGAACACCGGUGGCGAAGGCGGUUCUCUGGGCAUGUUCUGACGCUGAGGAGCGAAAGUGUGGGGAGCGAACAGG